AGUCUUCCACAUUGAACCUUUCUUGUGUUAAGGGCUAUGCCUCGAACCAACACUGAUUUGGGAAAUUCUAGAUUGAAAAGCAUCACUACCACAGAUAGGAGAUGUCAGUUGAAUUCUUCAGGACAUCCAGCAGAACCAAGAGAUUCUACUUGAAGUUUACUGGAAUCUUUACUCUUUAAACUUCCAAAUAUUGGAAAGUGAGAUGGCGUUCAAAAGUGAUAUUCCACUUGUUGCCAAGUGUGCAAUAGUAUCAUUGUGUGUUUCUUGAACCAAGUAUACUACUUUUCGUUGUCAGUUCUUCCAGGUAGGCCGCAAAUGUUGUCAAACUGACACUUAAUUUACUUGCAGAUAACCAUGCCUAGGAGAAAAAAACAUAUAACUUUGAAACUUUCUCAUGUUAAUGUACAAGUGUAAUAUCAUGUAACCAUAGAUUCUUUUUAAGGGGAUUAGAAGGUUAAGUACUAUAAAGACAUUAUGCAUUCUGUGAUACAAUAGGCAAAGAGAAAGAAUAUGCAUCUAAUAUGCACAUUUACUCAUCAAAUAUUUACUGGUUGUAAAGGCCCUUCAAAAAUCUUAGCUUGACUAUUAUGAGAUACCAACAUAGCCAGAUCUUUGAAUUUCGUAAUCUGCCGGAUGACAACUAUACAAAUAAGAAUACAAUUAUAAGAGCUAAAACCACCAUACAUAAUGAGCUCCACAUAUUUUCAUAUUAAAUAUCCGCUCCUUAUUGCUCAGUUAACCUACUCUGCUUAAUAUUGGUUUUCAAUGAGUGAAGAACAAAGCACACCUAUUUCCUACACCUGGAAAUUCUAGAUAUUUAAAGCAGAAAAUAUCAAUGCAUGUCUUUAUUACAGAAACACCUAUUAAUUUUACAAAAUUGUAGUGCACUCAACAUAGAAUGCUCAUUUUUUAAGAAGAGGGUUUUCAUUUUCUCAAUCAGCAAGUGCUAAAUAAACUUAAAUUGUUUUUUGCAGUUACUCUAAUUAAGUGACUCAUAAAUUUCAUAGAAUUGCCAAUUUUAACCACAGCUAAAAAAAAUUAGAAGAAAAACCUUUACAGAUCAAUAUAAUUAUAUAAAAAAAAUUUCUUCUUCCUUCAGUUAAUUAACAUUUGAAUCCAAAUUCUUGAUUAACAUCCAAAUAACAGCGGGAGAACAUAAAAAGUUCAGCAGAACAAAAUUGAAGUAUCUAUAAAUUUCUGUGGGUAAGCAGGAAAUACCUGAACAAAUUGUUGUUGAAUAUGAUGAUGAUUCCUCAAUUCAAUACUUCAGAAGGUGCCUAUCUAGC
rnacentral:lncRNA from 1 species